AGGACGAACGCUGGCGGCGUGCUUAACACAUGCAAGUCGAGCGAGGCCCUUCCUUCGGGGAGGUGCCCUAGCGGCGAACGGGUGAGUAACACGUGAGUAAUCUGCCCCUAGCUCUGGGAUAGCUCCGGGAAACCGGGAUUAAUACCAGAUACGACCACUUUAGACAUCUGUUGUGGUGGAAAGAAUUUUGGCUAGGGAUGAGCUCGCGGCCUAUCAGCUUGUUGGUGAGGUAACGGCUCACCAAGGCGACGACGGGUAGCCGGCCUGAGAGGGCGACCGGCCACACUGGGACUGAGACACGGCCCAGACUCCUACGGGAGGCAGCAGUGGGGAAUAUUGCGCAAUGGGCGAAAGCCUGACGCAGCGACGCCGCGUGGGGGAUGAAGGCCUUCGGGUUGUAAACCCCUUUCAGCAGGGACGAAGCGAAAGUGACGGUACCUGCAGAAGAAGCGCCGGCUAACUACGCGCCAGCAGCCGCGGUAA
rnacentral:rRNA from 1 species